GACGAACGCUGGCGGCGCGCUUAACACAUGCAAGUCGAGCGAGAACCGGGCCUUCGGGCCUGGGGACAGCGGCGAACGGGUGAGUAACACGUGGGUAAUCAACCCUCGACACCGGGAUAGCCCGGGGAAACCCGGAUUAAUACCGGAUGGCCCUUUGGAUCCUCGGAUCUGGAGGAAAAGGUAGCUUCGGCCUCCGGUCGGGGACGAGCCCGCGGCGGAUUAGCUUGUUGGUGAGGUAACGGCUCACCAAGGCGACGAUCCGUAGCUGGUCUGAGAGGACGAUCAGCCACACUGGGACUGAGACACGGCCCAGACUCCUACGGGAGGCAGCAGUGGGGAAUCUUGGACAAUGGGCGAAAGCCUGACGCAGCGACGCCGCGUGGAGGAUGAAGGUCUUAGGAUUGUAAACUCCUGUCAGGUGGGAAGAAAAGCUUAUUUCUAAUAAAUAUAGGUAAUGACUGUACCAUCAGAGGAAGCACUGGCUAACCUCGUGCCAGCCGCCGCCGUAACAC
rnacentral:rRNA from 1 species